AGACCCGAAACCCGGUGAUCUAGCCAUGGGCAGGUUGAAGGUUGGGUAACACUAACUGGAGGACCGAACCGACUAAUGUUGAAAAAUUAGCGGAUGACCUGUGGCUGGGGGUGAAAGGCCAAUCAAACCGGGAGAUAGCUGGUUCUCCCCGAAAGCUAUUUAGGUAGCGCCUCGUGAAUUCAUCUCCGGGGGUAGAGCACUGUUUCGGCUAGGGGGCCAUCCCGGCUUACCAACCCGAUGCAAACUGCGAAUACCGGAGAAUGUUAUCACGGGAGACACACGGCGGGUGCUAACGUCCGUCGUGAAGAGGGAAACAACCCAGACCGCCAGCUAAGGUCCCAAAGUCAUGGUUAAGUGGGAAACGAUGUGGGAAGGCCCAGACAGCCAGGAUGUUGGCUUAGAAGCAGCCAUCAUUUAAAGAAAGCGUAAUAGCUCACUGGUCGAGUCGGCCUGCGCGGAAGAUGUAACGGGGCUAAACCAUGCACCGAAGCUGCGGCAGCGACGCUUAUGCGUUGUUGGGUAGGGGAGCGUUCUGUAAGCCUGUGAAGGUGGCCUGUGAGGGUUGCUGGAGGUAUCAGAAGUGCGAAUGCUGACAUAAGUAACGAUAAAGCGGGUGAAAAGCCCGCUCGCCGGAAGACCAAGGGUUCCUGUCCAACGUUAAUCGGGGCAGGGUGAGUCGACCCCUAAGGCGAGGCCGAAAGGCGUAGUCGAUGGGAAACGGGUUAAUAUUCCCGUACUUGGUGUUACUGCGAAGGGGGGACGGAGAAGGCUAUGUUGGCCGGGCGACGGUUGUCCCGGUUUAAGCGUGUAGGUGUGUGUUCCAGGUAAAUCCGGUUCACUUUAACACUGAGGCGUGAUGACGAGGCACUACGGUGCUGAAGCAACAAAUGCCCUGCUUCCAGGAAAAGCCUCUAAGCAUCAGGUAACAUCAAAUCGUACCCCAAACCGACACAGGUGGUCAGGUAGAGAAUACCAAGGCGCUUGAGAGAACUCGGGUGAAGGAACUAGGCAAAAUGGUGCCGUAACUUCGGGAGAAGGCACGCUGACACGUAGGUGAAGUGAUUUACUCAUGGAGCUGAAGUCAGUCGAAGAUACCAGCUGGCUGCAACUGUUUAUUAAAAACACAGCACUGUGCAAACACGAAAGUGGACGUAUACGGUGUGACGCCUGCCCGGUGCCGGAAGGUUAAUUGAUGG
rnacentral:rRNA from 1 species